AACGAACGCUGGCGGCAGGCCUAACACAUGCAAGUCGAGCGAGGACUUCGGUCCUAGCGGCGGACGGGUGAGUAACGCGUGGGAACGUGCCCUUUGCUUCCGAAUAGCCCUUGUAAACUGGGCGUAAUACCGGAUGAGCCCUUUGGGGGAAAGAUUUAUCGGCGAAGGAUCGGCCCGCGUUUGAUUCGGUAGUUGGUGGGGUAAUGGCCUCCCAAGCCGACGAUCCAUAGCUUGGUUGAGAGGAUGAGCAGCCACUCUGGGACUGGGCCACAGGCCAGACUGCGACGGGAGGACGCGGUAGUGAAUCUUAGACAAUGGGGCGAACCCUAAUCGAGCCAUGACGGGUUAGCGAUGAAGGCCUUAGGGUUGUAAAGCUCUGUCAGCUGGGAAGAGAUUGACGGUACCUGCAGAAGAAGCCCCGGCUAACUACGUG
rnacentral:rRNA from 1 species